rnacentral:rRNA from 1 species
UUUGGGAGGGGGNGCCUAUACAUGCAAGUCGAACGCACAGCGAAAGGUGCUUGCACCUUUCAAGUGAGUGGCGAACGGGUGAGUAACACGUGGACAACCUGCCUCAAGGCUGGGGAUAACAUUUGGAAACAGAUGCUAAUACCGAAUAAAACUUAGUGUCGCAUGACAAAAAGUUAAAAGGCGCUUCGGCGUCACCUAGAGAUGGAUCCGCGGUGCAUUAGUUAGUUGGUGGGGUAAAGGCCUACCAAGACAAUGAUGCAUAGCCGAGUUGAGAGACUGAUCGGCCACAUUGGGACUGAGACACGGCCCAAACUCCUACGGGAGGCUGCAGUAGGGAAUCUUCCACAAUGGGCGAAAGCCUGAUGGAGCAACGCCGCGUGUGUGAUGAAGGCUUUCGGGUCGUAAAGCACUGUUGUAUGGGAAGAACAGCUAGAAUAGGAAAUGAUUUUAGUUUGACGGUNACCNAUACCAGAAAGGGACGGCUAAANNUACGUGCCAGNCAGCCGCGGUAAUACGUAUGUCCCGAGCGUUAUCCGGAUGCUCCNCUUUGGNGUGCANNGGUCCCNGCCAAUUCCUUUAAAUUUCAACUUUGAAGUCGUCCUCCUCAGGCGCAGUAGUNGCAUGCGAUACUNGCUAGCANUGAGGGCACGAAAGCCCCGUGACACUUCACUUUUAUCGUUUGAAGGCGUNAGCUACCUGGGAGAUCUACUCGUGAUGAAUCCGGCUUACUGUCGCUNCAUCAGAUGCAGAGACAGNACAGUGAGGGUCGCACACAGGAGGUGAUCCUCUGGUAGUCCACACCGUUAACGAUGAACACUAGGAGUUAGGAGGUUUCCGCCUCUUAGUGCCGAAGCUAACGCACUAAGUGUUCCCCCUGGGGAGUACGACCGCAAGGUUGAAACUCAAAGGAAUUGACGGGGANCCCGCACAAGCGGUGGAGCAUGUGGUUUAAUUCGAAGCAACGCGAAGAACCUUACCAGGUCUUGACAUCCUUUGAAGCUUUUAGAGAUAGAAGUGUUCUCUUCGGAGACAAAGUGACAGGUGGUGCAUGGUCGUCGUCAGCUCGUGUCGUGAGAUGUUGGGUUAAGUCCCGCAACGAGCGCAACCCUUAUUGUUAGUUGCCAGCAUUCAGAUGGGCACUCUAGCGAGACUGCCGGUGACAAACCGGAGGAAGGCGGGGACGACGUCAGAUCAUCAUGCCCCUUAUGACCUGGGCUACACACGUGCUACAAUGGCGUAUACAACGAGUUGCCAACCCGCGAGGGUGAGCUAAUCUCUUAAAGUACGUCUCAGUUCGGAUUGUAGUCUGCAACUCGACUACAUGAAGUCGGAAUCGCUAGUAAUCGCGGAUCAGCACGCCGCGGUGAAUACGUUCCCGGGUCUUGUACACACCGCCCGUCACACCAUGGGAGUUUGUAAUGCCCAAAGCCGGUACCUAACCUCUAGGAAGGAGCCUUUUUAGGCGGUCAACGGUU